UACGUAGGCAGCGAGCGUUGUUCGGAAUUACUGGGCGUAAAGGGCGCGUAGGCGGCCUUCUAAGUCGAACGUGAAAUCCCCGGGCUCAACCCGGGAACUGCGUCCGAUACUGGAAGGCUUGAAUCCGGGAGAGGGAUGCGGAAUUCCAGGUGUAGCGGUGAAAUGCGUAGAUAUCUGGAGGAACACCGGUGGCGAAGGCGGCAUCCUGGACCGGCAUUGACGCUGAGGCGCGAAAGCCAGGGGAGCAAACGGG
rnacentral:rRNA from 1 species